rnacentral:lncRNA from 1 species
CUGAACGGCCAAUGAGGACGCGCCUUACAGCUAACACCGGGUCGGGAGCGAGGCUGCAGCGAGUGCGGCGCUGACAGGGACGCGCGCGCGAUCCAGCUCGGACCCCAGGCCAACGCCGCCAUCACCGCUGCCCACCCAGUCCCCCCCUCCGCCGGUUUCCCUCGCCAUGGAGGCGAGGCCGCCGCCGCCGCCGCGGGGCUCCGGGCCGUGGGCCGGGCGGCGGCCCUGAGGGCGAGUGGCGGGCCGAGACGCAGCCGCAGAACCCAGGCGGAGGCGCCGUCCUAGUCCCCAGUGGUCCCGCCCAACGCCCGACUUGGUGAGUGUUGUCGCCGCCGCCCGGGUGGGCUCCGGAAGCGGGGGCGGCUUCGGGUGCGGGUGGGAGGGGUCCCCGGAUCCUCCUUUUCCCGGUAGAAUCCCUCCGGCUUCUGUAGUCGGAUCCGGCAUCCCUGCGCAGUGGGGAGGGGGAGGGGGGUCCCCGGAAACGUGCAGGACUGGGCACCGACCCCUCUCGACUGCCCUGGAACUUUGCGUGCGUCCUUCUAGCGCCAGGCCAGGGCACUGUCGUAGUUCAUUCUGUAAGAGGAAACUUAGAACAGCGAGAACAGCAUUUGCUCUAGUUCAUUUAAUAGGAAGAAAGGAAAACUCCGGACAGGAGAAAAUUUUGCUCUUGCAGUGACCAACUUUUCUUUUCCUUAAAGCCCCGUGCCCUUCCCGGCCGCCGCCCGUCUCCCAGGCUCCCCUCUCUGCUGCCUACUCCCAACUGUUGAGGAUGCUUAGGAAGGUAAAAUAGGGACUCAGAGCUGCUCAGAAUUCAUAGUGAGCCACUUGAGAAUACACAUCCCCUCCCUUUUUAUUUCCGGGAAAUUAAAAAUUCUUUAAAAAAAUUCUAAUAUAUUUCUUGAAAAUAAAAAUUGUAAUGGCAGAAUUGAACCUAAUGUUGAGGUUUUGUGUGUGUGUGUAGUGUGUGUGUGUAUUUUGUCAGUGAUGAUAUUGUGAGAUAGGAAAACAGGAAUAUUCAGAUCCUUUUAGGCAGAGUAAAUGUCUUCAAAAGCCUUUGCCCAGAAUAGGGAUUCCUGCUCUCAACCAGUCAUAUCUCCCCAGAGAUGGUUUUACUUGCCACCUGCUAGCUGUUGAGGCAGCCAGAGAACCAGAAGAUGGUGGGUGAGAGGAGGACUGAGUAGGAAAGGCCGAGCAUCUUCCUGCCUGGCCACUCCUUUCAAAAACACAGAUCUGAUGCUGUCACUUGUUUACUUAAAACCUCCUUCUCUUUCUUUUUCCCAUGGGAUGAAUGAAGCCCAAAAUACCUUAUCAGGUCAACCAAGGCCCUUGACACUCUUGCCUCAACUUACAUUUUUACUUUAGACUAAUCUCUCAGUUCUCCUUUCCUUCAUUCCCUCCCUGGCUAUUCAGAGCUUUUUGACCACUUCUAAUGUUGGGAGAUUUUUAUUUUCUUUGAUCCUCUUCCACCUGUCCCUGCUAAGCUCCAUGUGUUUCUUUAAAACUCCCCUCUCACUCACUCCCCCUUAUCCCCCUCUUCUCACUCUCUCUCAAACUCCGGGGAGGGCUGGGGUUGUAGCUCAGUGGUUGAGCGCUUGCCUUUCACGUGUGAGGCACUGGGUUCAAUCUUCAGCACCACAUACAAUAAAUAAAGAUAUUGUGUUUAUCUACAACUAAAAAAAAUGUAUAUCCUGCCCCCCCCCCUUUUAAAUUUUGAAACAGGGUCUUGCUAAGUUGCUGAGGGUCUUGCUAAAUUGCUAAGACUGUUCUCAAACUUGUGAUCCUCCUGUCUCAGCCUUCUAAACCGCUAGAAUUACAGGCAUGCUUCAUCCUGCCUAGCUAGCUCUUUUCAUUUGAGAAGCUUCUUAAGGGCAGGAGCUGUGUCUUGUUCACUUUUUCUUGUUGGGAAAAUUCUUUCCUGUUGUCUCCUAGAUCCUUUCCCAAAACCCAAGAUAAUUUUUCACUUGUGUUUCCUGAAGGCCUGCUUGGAGUGCAUGCCCAGGACUUUUACCACAUCUGAUUUCUUAUCUUCUCAUGUCCAUCCUACCCAGACCCCAUAAAUAUUCAUCAGUCAAGAAUCGGCACUUCCCACAUCCCACUGACUUCCAAUCUGCUUGACUAAAAGGCCAAAAGCCACUCAUUUUUCACCUCUGUCUGCCUAAAGUGAUCUUACUCAUGUGUAUUGAUGGGUACCAUCAAUGAUCCCCAUUGGCUAUUCACUGUAUACCUUGUAGCCACUUAUUUAGCAUGUGGAUGAAAUACUGAACCAGAAAAGCAAACCCUCUUACCUAACUAUAUUCCUGGGCCUUCUAUUUGCAAGGCUUAGUGCUUGGGAUACAAAAUGAAAGUGAUGAAGUCAUGCCCUUACCUUGAAGGAGUUCACUCUAGGGCAGGGCAGGGAGAUGUUAAUAAAUAAUGGCGUUACAGAUAUUACUAGAAUGUAACAAUAAUCUGUUGUUUUUUUACUUGCCUGUGACAGGGUUUACGUGAAUUCUCUCAUUUAAUUCUUUCAGUGUUGGAAACUGAGGCCUUACAGUUGAAGGUAUAGUCAGAUAAAGUUAUAGUCAGGAUUUGAAUCUUGAUAGUCUAGUUCCAGAACCUCUGCCAGGUUGUGCAGGGGACAUUCCCUCUUUCCUUAGGUGGGAAAACUUUCUUGGGAUGGGCCUUUAGUCCUGAAGGGUGCAUAGAAGUUUGUGCAUGGUGGACCGUGCACACAUAGGAAAGAGAGCAGCACCAGCAGGCUUGGAGGGAGAAGGACUUACUGUCCUUGGGAACUGGGAAGAGGUUAAACAGGUGAUUGGGUAAAGUUAAGAGGGUUGGAAGAUGAGAUUAGGGUCAGCUUGAAGUAUAUGUAGUGUGUUUAAGUUUAAGCACUGGAAGAGUCACUGAAGGAAGAAUUUAAAGGCAGUCAGGGACUUUGAGUGGGCUUUGUAAAGGUCACUUGGGCACAUUUGAGGCUAAUGCUGAUACCUGUGCAAUUUAGGAGGCAGUGACCAGACCCUACCCAGGUAAAAUCAUAUCCUUUUAGACCCAAAGGAAGGUAUAAAGAGAAUUCUGCUCAGUUUUGGGAAAAGAUAUUUAAUGAGUAUGAGAGAGAAAUUCCAGCAGUAUGAAAGGGUAUUUAGAGAAACAAAUUGCCCCAAGUCUCUUGUCUCCUAACCUCUUCUCCAGGGAUGGCUGAAGUUUCCAGUUUGUGACCCUUCUAUAAACACUGUUCCUUUAUAAUGCUUCAACAUAGAACAGAUUCCACCAUGAUACAGACCAGUCACACCUUUUAAAAAAUUAACAUAUUUAGGGCUGGGGAUAUGGCCCAAUGGUAGAUGCUUGAGGCCUUGGGCUUGAUCCUCAGCACCGGAAAAAACAAAAACAAAGCAUAUUUAGGAAAUUAUUUCAAAUCAGUACCUAUAGAAUUGUUCAUUCUUUGUAUUGACAUUACCUUAUUUUAAUGUAUGACUGUGUAUUUGCACAUGUAGCUUUAUGUAUUUAUAAGUAGUCUUCAUGUUAAACAUUUGUUUCCAUAUUUUUCUCUUACAGCAGUGCAAUACAAAGUACAUAUUUUGUUAUGAGCUCAUGUAUAAAAUUUUCUGAACAGAAUGCUUUUAGAAGUGGAACUACUUGGUCAAAAGAUGUGUCCAUUUUUUAAUUUUAAACGUGGUCAAAUUACCACUUUUUGAGGUAAUUCUACCAAUUUAUUCUCUCCCCCAAAAUGUGAGUGUGUCUCAAUGGAUUGUCAUCAGAAUAUCUAGCAGGAUCACCUGGAUACUUUUUCAACUUCCACAUACCUACCCUUCUCUUAGCAGCCACUGGCACUCAUGUCAUUCUAGCCUAUUUCUUUUAUUUAUUUAUUUAAGGCAGCGUAAUGCAUUACAAUAAUACACAUAUAGAGCACAAUUUUUCAUGGUUGUAUACAAAGUAUAUUCAUACCAAUUCAUAUCUUCAUACAUGUACUUUGGAUAAUAAUGAUCAUCACGUUCCACCAUCAUUUCUAACCCCAUGCCCCCUCCCUUUACCUCCAACUCCUCUGCCCUCUCUAGAGUUCGUCUAUUCCUUCCAAGCUCCCUCUCCCUAUUCUAGCCUAUUUCUUUUAAUUUACUGAGGGCCACAUUGAGGCUCAGAAAGAUCAGAGUGACUUGUACAGGAAAAGCAGUGUUGUGUGGUGAUGGCUUAUGUUUUGCAGCUCUGAUAUUUGUGUAUGACCAUUAUCUUUCUGGAGGCACUUAGCAAUUUGUAAACAUUGUUGCAUUAUUUUUCUUUAUGUGAAAAAAAUGAAUGCAGGUAAAGUUGAGUUAAUAGCUGGGAAGUUGGCCAGAUAUAGAAUCUUGUUUUUUCAGUUCCAGCAUAGUAACUAGUAAAUGUUUUCAAAUGCUAAAGGGAAGAAAUUUUUUUUUGUGUGUGUGUGUAUAAAUGCAACAAAAAUAGCAAUAAUAUAAUACAAAGUUAAUAAAGCUGAGCAGAAACUCACAAAUAACCCAGUGUUAAAAUUUGUUUUAAUAUAUUUUCUACUGAAAAGAUAAUCCAUUAAGUAUAAAAUUAUAUUUACUCUAAAUUUAUCUGUUUGUGUCCGUGUACAUUGAUUUUUUUAGUUGUAGUCAGUACAUACAGAUAAUUUUUGAAUUGUUGAAUAGCAUAAAAUAUUUUAUAUUUACUCAUUUAUAUAUCUUUAUUGUUUUAAAAUUAUAGUAUUGCAUGCAUCAACAGCUGUAGUUUGUACAAUCUUUAUUUUUUCCUUUUUUACCGUUAUAAUUGGUACUUUUAUAAACCUGAGUGCCCUUGUUCAAAUACUUCUUUUUUUUUUUUUUGGAUUAUUUUCUUGGACCCUUACCCCUCCAGUAUGCUCACUGUAUCAGAGGAAUAUUUUAUUGCUGAAUUGUUACCUUUAAAGGUUGAACUACUUUACAACACUGUCAGCAAUUUUAUAUGGCCCUGAUUCUUGACAACACAGCCAGUGCUAUCACAAACAAAAACCUAAUAUUUAAUUAUUUUAUUAAUUUAAAAGAAAUGUUGAUUGAGAAAAGUUUAAUUUUCUUUUCUUUUUUUUUCCCCAGUACUGAAGAUCAGACCUAGGACCUUGUACAUCUUAGGCAAGUGUUCUACCACUGGGCUAUAUUCCCAACCCUUUAUUUAAAAAAAAAAAAAAAAAAAAAAAAUAUAUAUAUAUAUAUAUAUAUAUAUAUAUAUAUUUAUUUAUUUAGUUGUUGAUAGACCUUUAUUUUAUUUAUUUAUAUGUUGUGCUGAGAAUCGAACCCAGUGCCUCAUACAUGCCAGAUAAGCCCUUCUGCUCAGCCCCAGCCCCCUCAACCCUUUUUAAAUUGAUUUUGAGACAGGGUCUUGCUAAGUUGCCAGACUGGCCUUGAACUUAUGAUCCUCCUACCUCAGCCUAUAGCUGGGAGAGAUUAUAGAUAUAAUUUACAUUUACUGAAUGAGACAGAUAUUAGGAAAAUAUAGAAUGGGAUCAUAUUGGCAUAAAAUGUAAGACUAGAUGCUGUUCUGUUGAAUAUACCAGGCAUUGUGCUAGGAGGAGGAGAUACCCCAGAGUAACAUGGAUAUGAUUUCUGUCCUCAUGGCACUUAAGGGUUAGUGCAGUAGACAGAAAUUAAUCACUUUGUGGUAAUUAUGGAUGUGGUAGAUGUAAUCAGAAGAGAAGAAUAAGGUGUCUAGGGAGUGCCAGAGAAGUUCAACAGUUAAGCAACAUUUGCAAAAGCCCUGAGCUGGGAAGGGAUUUGGUAGCUCAGGGCAGCGCUUCUCUUACUUGAAUGUGCACAUGAACCAUCUGGGCAUCUUGUUAAAAUGCCAAGUCCUGAUUCAGUAGAUCCGGGUGGGACUUGGGAUUCUGCAUUGCUAACCACCUCCUGGGUGAGGCGGAUGCUGCUGGUGGGUGGAUCACACUUGGUGGAGCAAGGCCUAAUUGAGAGGUUGGUGAGCACCUGAAACUGACUGAUCAUGGUGAGCAGGAAGUGGCAGGUGGCUUGCUGUGACACUGGAGCCAUAAUUCUCUGCCCUGACUGUGCUUUUAAAUUAACCAGGGUUAAUUUAAAAAAAGAAAAAAACCUGAUCGUUUUUAUUUAAUUGGCCAUAGAUAGGGCCUGAGAAUGUGUGUAUAUAUUUUAAUUUUGCAGGUGAUUCUAAUGUGUCAGGGUUGAGAGCCACUGGACUGGAGAGAGGCAGAAGUCAGAUUUUGGACUUUAUGUUGAAGGCAAAGCUAAGCCACUGAAGGAUUUUAAGCAGGAGAUCGAGCCUGUCUGAUCUGCAAUUGUAAAAAUUCACUAUGGCUGCAAUCUAGAGCAGUAGUUUUCAGAGAGGUGGAUAUGACAGUUUACUGAGGUGCUGGAAGAAAUUUUGAAUUUUCAUUCAUUUUUGUCUAAAAAAAUAAAAUAAAACAUUUAAUUUAGGGAUUGUCAUUGGCGUAUUCUUGAGUGUGUAGAUUACAUAAUGUUAGUGUUAAUGUUCAAGUACAGAAUUUUGGGUGUCCUGAAGGAAGAGAGGGAGUUCUUCAGUGAGCAUAGUUAUACUCAUCCAUUCAGUGGAUUGCAGUUUUUUGUUUUGUUUUGUUUGGUUUUUAUAGUACUGUUGGACCCCUGGCCUUGUACAUGCUAGGCACACACUCAAUCAUUGAGCCAUAUCCCCAACCCAUUUUAUUUUAUUUAUUUUUGUCAUACUGGGCAUUGAACCUAGGGCCUCACACACACUGAGCUAUAUCUCUAGUCCUUUAUUUUGAGACAGAGUCUCAUGAAGUUGCCCAUGCUGGCUUUAAAGAGAUUGUACAUUCCUUUGAUUUAUAUCUGUAUGCCUUCAUCUAUCCCAAUAAAUCUUAAAUUUGGUCUUUUCAUGUUAUCUAAUAAUUCUUGGAAGUUCUGUUCAUGAUUUCUUAACAUCAUCUCUCUGUGGUCAACUCUAUUUUCAAAAUUAUAUAUUUUGUCUGCAUUGCCUGAGGUUCUGUCUUCCAAUUGGUUUAGUCUGUUGGUGAUGCUUUCUAUUGAAUUUUUAAUUUGGUUUAUUGUUUCCUUCAUUUUAAGGAUUUCUGCUUGUUUUUUUCCCCUGCAGAAUCUCUGCCUCUUUAUUGAAGUGAUCUUUCACUUCCUGUAUUUUCUCUGUGAUUUCAUUCCCUAUACUGUUCUUUACUUUGCAGAUCAAUUUAACUGUGUACAUUCUAAACUCCUUCUCUGACAUUGCUUCCACUUUGAUGUCAAUGGAUUCUGUUAUUGGAGUAUCUUGGUUUGUUUGGGACAAUUUGUUUCCUUUUUCAUGUUGUUUGUGUGUCUACCCAUCUAACAGUGUGGAUCUGAGACAGUAAAGUUUCUACCCUGUGGACUUAAGUGUCCCUGAAUGUUUCCAGUACUUCACUUAUGGAGAAGCUGCCUAUCUGCUUUCUUGGUUUCAUGGCAUGGCACAGAGCAGCCAGAAACUCAACCUCCUCUAUUCCGCCAUCUUGUAAAACCUCCCCAGGCUGGCUUUGAACUUGUGAUCCUCCUCCCUCAGCUUCCCCAGUAGUUGGGUAUACAAGUAUAUACUAUGACAUCCACUUGCAACAUAUUGUUAUUUAUUUUAUUCACUUUUCAUUAAACUAACCUGCAAAGGUUUCAAAAUGGAUUUGCAAAGAAACCAAUGAUUGAAGAAAGAACUGAUAAUGCAAGCACAAGCAAACAAAUAAGAUGGCAGACCUGAUAUUAGUCUUCUAUUAUGAACUCUUGACUAACUAUUAAAUUACAUUAAAGAAAUGAACUCAUUAAUAUGGAGAAUAGAAGCUUUUAUGAAAUAUGGAUUUAUAAGAAGCUUUUAUGAAAUAUGGAUUUAUAGCCUUCGUUAUUAAUAGGAAUCUUUCAUCAAAACAACCUUGAGAUGGUAAUUAAUAAAAUAGAGGGCUAUCACCAGUACCAAGGCAUUUGAAAACUUAACAUCUGGAAUAUAAAGAGUUGCCCACGCCUUUUCCCAGUGUUGAAGAUGCUAAGGAUGUGCUAUACCACUGAGCCACACCUCAGCUCCUACUGUUUUUGGUGCCAGGGAAUAGACCCAGAUGCACUUAACCACUGAGCCAGAUCCCCAGCCUGUUUUUGUGUUUUAUUUUGAGACAGGGUCUCAUUAAGUUGUUAAGGCUGACUUUGAACUUGUGAUCCUCCUACCCCAGCUUCCUGGGCCACUACUUAGCUCAUAAUCCAAUGUGCCUGGAUACUUUUUUUUUUUUUUAAAUGAUGUUUAAAGUUAUAAGCUAUUCAAUCAAGUGCUUUGCAGAAUUUCUGGUUCUUAUGAAAGACAAAAAGGCACAUACCAUUAGCAGGUUCUUCUCUUACCCCCCAGGCCCACUUAAACAAACAAGAUUGAUUUAUUUUAUUUUAUUUUAUUUUUUUUACUAACAAAGAAACUCUUUCCUUUAUUGUAAGAAAAUAAACUUUCAGAAGCUAAAGCUAGCUUUUCAGUUGUGCAAAAUACUAACACUUUAAGCAGAAAGUCUUUAUUUUUAAGAGAAAGUAACAUUUUUCUAUACUUGACCUAUAUUUUAAUUCUUUCCAGUAGAACCAAAACCUCCUGAACCCCUUUCAGUGUCAUUCAACACUUGAACUUCUUCUAUAUCUGGAUAAAAAAUCCGUUCACAAAUGAGCUGUGCUAUUCGAUCACCUUUUUUUACUUCAAACUUCUCUUUGCCAAAAUUAAAUAACACAACACCAAUAUUUCCUCUAUAAUCUUCAUCUAUGACACCAGCUCCUACAUCUAUGAAGUAUUUUGCAGCCAGGCCAGAACGUGGAGCUAUUCUUCCAUAGCACCCAGAAGGAAGAGCUAUCUGAAUGUCUGUUUUCACAAGGGCUUUCUCCAUAGGUGGUACUAUAUAAUCAUAGGCACUGUACAGGUCAUAGCCUGCGGCCCGCGCGGACCCCCGGGUCGGGGCCGUGGCGUGCUCCGAUAGUCGAACAAAGCGGAGCCGCAAGCCGCCAUCCUCCGCAGGCCGGGCCCGCUUGCUGGGGGAAAUGGCGGUUACUUCUUCAGAAGAGGGCAUGGCAGCACCGGAGGGCAAGAGAAGACGAAGAGACCAGAAAAGACAGCAGGGGAUCAAGAUUGAUUUAAUACAUGGAAAAUUACUUAUCAAGAAGCCAAAAAUGCGUUCCUUUUUCACUAAAUAACGUUGGAGGAUGCAUAGGAAACAUUGCUGAAUUUGUGAACAAAUAAUAUUAGAAUAAAUUUGAUUCCUGUGGCAUGUUCCUGUAAUCCCAGAUAUGUGGAAAACUGAGGCAGGAGGAUCCUGAGUUUGAGACUAGCUUGAAUCUCAUUCUAAUAAGACCUUAUCUCUAAAUAAAUAAGUAUUUGAACAAAUUUUGCAGUGUGGGAAGUUUGGUAUACAAUGAGUCCAGGGCUGCAGGUGUAGCUCAGUGGUAGAGUGCUUAUUUAGCAUGUGCCAGGCCCUGGGUUUGAUCCCCAGCACUGGGAGGGGAAGGGAAAAAAAAAAAAAGAUUAAGCAGCUUUUAGCAUGUAUUACUAGAGUCUUUUUGAUAAUUGAAUUCGGAAAGAACCACUUCUGAGCUACUGGAAGACAUACUCUUUUUUCUUUUUAAAUAUUUAUUUUUUAGUUAUAGGUGGAGACAAAACUUUAUUUCAUUAUGUGAUGCUGAGGAUCGAACACAGAGCUUCAUGCAUACUAGGCAAGUGCUCUACCUCUUAGCCACAACCCCAGCUCCUGGAAGACAUACUCUUAAUAGUGAAUAAUUUUCUUAUUAAGAACAUUGUUAUUUGGAAUAAGUGUCUAAGUGAAAACUACUGACAAAACAGUUACUUUGAUUAAAAGAGAAAUUCAUUCAUUGCCUUUUAAUGGGCAAGCUGUCGAGUCAGGUUGUCCUUCAUUAGUUGUGUUGUAUUAGAGUUGUUGAUGGCUUAUUUUCUUUUUAAAAAAUGCCAGCUGGCCAGGUAUGGUGGCACAUACCUGUAAUCCCAGCAACUUGUGAGGCCAGCACAGGAAGAUUGCAAGUUUGAGGCCAGCCUUGGCAAUUUAAUGAGACCUUGUCUUAAAAUAAAAGAAUGUAAAAGGGACUGGAAAUGGUAGCUCAGUGAUAGGGCACCCCUAGCUAGGUUCCAUUCCCAGUACUGCAAAAAAAAAAAAAAAGAAUAAAAGGAAAAAAAAAAAAAAAACUCAGCUGUUGGUCUCCUUUCUAUUUUCCUGACACCCUCUUCACAUCUUUUAAAAAUUUCUUCUCUCAAUCUAACUUCCAUGUAUGAGAGAAAACAUCCUACUCUUGACUUCCAGAGUCUGGCUUAUUUCAUGAUGUUCUCUAGUUUCAUCCACUUACCAGCAAAUGACAUAAUUUCAUUCUUCUUUAUGGCUGAAUAAAACUCCAUUGUGUAUAUAUACCACAUUUUAUUUAUUCAUUUAUCUGUUCACAGUUGCUUUAACUUGCCUUUUGUGAAUUGUGCUGCUCCAAACACUGGUAUGUAUAUAUCACUGUAGUAUGCUGAUGUUAGUUCUUUUGAAUAAAUACCAAGGAGUGGAAUAGCUGGGUCAUGGGGUGAUAUCAUUUUUAGACUUUUGAAGACUCUCCAUACUGCUUUCCAAAGUGGUUGUACUAAUUUGCACUCCCACCAACCAUGUACCUUUUCCCUCACAUCAUUGUCAAUAUUUAUUUUAUUUGCAUUCUUUUAUUUUCCUUUGAUACCAGGGAUUGAACCCAGGGGCACUCAACCACUGAGCCACAUCCCCACCCUUUUUUAUUUUUUAUUUUGAGACAGGAUCUUGCUAAGUUGCUUAGAGCCUUAGCCUCCAGAGUUGCUGGGAUUACUGGUGGGUACCACCACACCUGGCUAUUAUUUGUGUUCUUUGAUUUCUAUUCUAACUGGUAUGAGAUGAAAUCUCAGUGUAGUUUUUGAUAUCCAUUUCCCCUGACUGCUAAGGAUGUUGAACAUUUUUUCACAUUAUUUGUUGGCCAUUCAUAUUUCUUCUUUUGAGAAAUGUCUGUUUAGAUCAUUUAACCAUUCAUUGGUUGGGUUGUUUUGAGGUGUUUUUUGAGUUCUUUAUAAUAUUCUAGAUGCUAAUCAUCUCUUGGAUGCAAAGCUGGCAAAGAUUUUCUCCCAGUCUCUUCUCUUUUCACAUUCUUAAUUUUUUCCUUUGAGGUACAGAAGCUUUUUGAUGCCAUCCCCCUUAAUGAUUUUUGGUUUUCUUUCCCUCCCUCCCUCUCUCCCUUUCUUCUUUCCUUCCUUCCUUUUUGAACCAGGGAUUGAAGCCAGGGGCACUUACGCAUUGAGCCACAUCCCCAGUCCAUUUUAUUUUGAGGCAGGGUCUUGCUAAAUUGCUUAGGGCCUAGCUAAGUUGCUGAGGCUGUCUUUGAACUUGAGAUCCUCCUGCUUCAGCCUUUGGAGCAACUAGGAUAAUAGGGAGGUGCCACUAUGCUGGCUCUUGGUUUUAUUUCUUGAGGAGAUAUAGAGGGAAGGAGGAGGGGAGACAAUGGGGAGGCACUGGGAAUGAAAUCUACCAAAUGUGCUAUGUCUACAUUCAAAUAUACCAUAAUGAAUCUCACUUAUAUGUAAUUAUAAUGUAGUCAUUAAAAUAAUAAUGUUAAUGAUAGUGGGAGAUCAGUAGAGUAGAGGAAGCAAAUUAGUGGGAGAGAUGAGGGAAAGGGAAAAUACUGGGGAAUGAGAUUGACCAAAUUAUGUUAUAUGCAUGUAUGUAUCCCAUUAUUAUGUAUAAUUAUAAUGCAUCAGUAAAAAAAAAAAAAAAAAAAGCCAACUGUUGCCAGGUGCAGUGGCAUACAUACCUAUAAUCCCAGCUAUUUGGGAGACUGACAGGGAAUAUUAUGAGUUCAAGGCCAGGCUGGGCAAUUUAGUGAGACACUGUCUCAAAAUGAAAAAUGAAGCUAGGCACACUGGUAUACCCCUAUAAUCCCAGUUACUCAGGAGGCUGAAACAGGAGGUUUGCAAGUUUGAAACCAGCCUCAGCAAUUAGCAAGGCCCUGUGUCAAGUUAAAAAAUAAAAAAGGGCUGGGGGUGUAGCUCAUUGGUAAAGUACCAAUAAAGUAAAAUACACACACACACACACAUCAUCAUCAUCAUCAUCAUCAUAAUAAUAAUAAUAAUAGUAACAAAACAGCAUGUAUUAAUUAACUUUAAAAAUGACGAUUGUUUAGGACUGGGGAUGUAAUUCAGUGUAGAGUACUUGCCUAGCAUGGGUGAAGUCCUGGUUUUGAUCCCAGCACUACCCCCUCAAAGUCAGCUUUUUAGCAUAAGUGUGAUACAUAGCAAAUACCAUUUGAAUUUCAUUAGGAAUUAGACAUAGAAGUUCAUUUCCACAAUAAAUUUAAAAAAAAAAAAAAAAUCAACAUCAACCUGUGUCAUUGAAGUAAAAUAAAAAAUACACCACGACUCCAAGCUUGGGUCACAGAGCGUGCAUGAUCCAUUCACGAUAUGGUGACUCGGUGUUGGGGUCCGAGGUUCAUUUCCAUAAUAAAAUUAUUACUUGUACUUUCAUUGAAUAAAGAAGAAUCCUUUUUUUCACGACACCCUUUCGUGAAAGGGGAACUAUGAAAAUUUUUUUUUUUGUUCGAAAUGACUUUAUAUUAAAUGUAUGGUAUUUUAAGACACCAAAAAUCACGUAAAUACAUGUUAGUAUUGGUAAUAGAAUAAAUUCCCGUAAAAAUAGUGAGGUUUUUCUUUGAUACAUGACUAAUCGAAGUGAGGGGUAAGACAGGAGAGAUCAGGGACCGUAUAUGAUUAAAAAGACAGGGACACCUAAACGGAUUAGACCCAUAGUCAUAAAAACAGAAUCAUAUAAUCUGUGGCCUUCAUCCUACUAUUGAACUACAUCCCUAGCCAUUUUUAUUUUUAUUUUGAGAGAGAGUCCUGUUAAGUUGUCUCGGCUGACUUCCAACCUGUAACCCUCCUGUCUCAGCCUCCAGAGUCACUGGGAUUACAGGUGUGCACCACCACACAGGGAUCUUUGUGUAUUUAUUUAUUUAUUGGUACUAGGGAUUGAACUCAGGGGUGCUUUACCACUGAGCUACAUCCUCAGUCCUUUUAAUUUUUGUUUUGAACAGGAUCUCAUUAAGUUGCUGAGUGUCUCACUAAAUUGCUAAGGCUGGCCUCAAAUUUGUGAUCCUCCUGUCUCAGCUUCCUGGGGGCAUGCACCACCAUGCCUUGUUCUGUGUUUAAUUUUUUGAGGAAUUGUUAAAUGCUUUCUAGAGCAUCUACUCCAUUUUACAAUCCUAGCAGUAAUUCUAUAAGAGUAUCCAUUUCUCCACAUCCCUGUGAACACUAGUUAUUGUCUAUCUUUUUAACUCUAGCCAUCCCAAGUGGGUUUGAAGUGGACUUGCCUUGUGGUUUAUAUUUGAUUUCCCAAAUGAUUUAUGAUUUCAGUAUGAUUUGUUGUAUCUAUAAAAAUUCUUUGUAAUUUUGCACAUGAAAAAUUUGGAAACAUAAUUUUGUAACCUGAUAAAAAUCUCCAAAUAUAUUUCUAAAAUAAGUUUUCAGAUAAUCUAAUGAAAUAAAGAACCUAGGCAUUGAUUAUUAGCAGCUGUUAAAACCAUUAUGCGUGGCCAUGUGGCUCAGUGGUCAAGUGCUCCUGAGUUCAAUUCCUAGUACCCAGCACCCCCACCAAAACAAACAAACAAACAAACAAACCCAAAACACAAAACAUUUUGGAGCUUUAUAAUGGGCUGGGGGUGGGGGUCAAGCUGGCAGUAUUCUGAUGAAUCAUAACAUCUCUGAAAUUGGGACAACCACAUCUUUUGUUCCUUCUAUGUGAUAUAGUGGGAAGAACAUAACAUUCAUGAAAUAUUGCUCCCCUCUUCACAAAGCAAAUCAAAUCUGACUCAGAUUAAGCUUCUAGAUUUAACAGUUUAUAGGAUGCUAUUAGCAAAUUCAGAAUGUGAGAAAUACUAUAGAACAAAUGAAUCAUUACUGCAAAUAAACAUAAAAAAAAGAGUAAAAAAAAUUAUUACAGUUUAAAAAAGACUCAAGACAUAUUAACUAAAUGUAAUGUGUAUUGCCGCAGUCCGGCUGCAGCAAAAUAACCCGGGGGUGACAAGCAACUUGUGUAGAUUGAUACAGCAGGAGUAGGAGCCGUUUAUUGUAGGACCAGAGGGAUAUUUAUACAUUCCACACAGCUUAUCUUAAUUAGCAUAAACUAGAUACAUCAGUCAACCAAUAAGGAAUCUCCACACUUAAUGGCUCGCUGGCCUUACUUCACAAACCACUCCCUCUGGCAAAAUGCCAGGCGCCAUCCUGACUUGUUUACAGACUCUAACAGUGUAUACCCAAACCGGCAUUCAAAGAUAUUUAUGAGACCAUUGGGAAUAUCAGAUGAUUGUUAUUUUUUUUAGGUAUGAUAAUAGUAUUGUGAUUAUAUUUAUUUUGUUUUUCGUGUGUGUUUGUGGGCGGGCGGGGGGGGAGAUAUUGUAUUUAAAAAGGAAGACACUUUUAGAGACAAGUACUGAAAUAUUUAUGAAUGAAAUGAUAUGAUGUUUGCUCCAGUACCAUAAGAAAAGAGAAAAAGGAAGACGUACAUCUUUAGCCAGAUUUAAAGGAAAGUGUUUGUAUUAUUGAAUGGUAGAAAAAUAAAUAUCACAGUUAAUAAGCAUAGCUAUAGUGAUUGUUCCUUUUGGACCCAUGUUUCUGUUUUGGCUCUGUUAGCCAUUAAAACCAAAUAUUGACUUGAAAUCAGACUUUCAAACUAUUUUAUGACAAAGUGUUAUAAAUGAAAUUUUUUGUCAAACAUAAUGAAAAAUAUUUAAUCAUGGAUCACACAAAAAAUGGGUUUAUAUCAGUAUUUUAGUGGUAUCAAUACCAUUAUUGUGAUCAUGAUUCUGUUUCAUUUGAAAAUUAAUUUUUUGAGGUAUUUACAUAUAGAUUAGUACCUAUGCCAUAGGUAAAGAUAUGUUGGGAAUGUUGCUCUUAUUUAUUAGUAGGUACGCAGUCAAAACUUUUGGUUGUCAGUACUGUGGAAAACAAACUGGGCAGAUCACAGAGAUUUAUUUGGUGAUUUGAGCAAAUUUGACAAGUGAUGACGGUGUUAUGGAGUGCUGAUGAGAGAUGUGGAGAUAUGUGGACAUAUACUUAAGUAUGAUUUAAGAAGAAGCAUUAGUAGGGUUACAGAUUUGGGGGUUUUUGGAAGACAUGUUGGCAAAUGGAGCUUCUGUGUGUAGGAAGAAGUUGAAAUCUGGCUCCUGUGAAUUGUGCAGGCAGUUUUCAAAUAUUGAUUGACAAAUAACUUAACCCACAAUUAGUUUUCAAACAUUGGUUGACAGACAGCUUAAUGCAAUGUUGUAAAUGCAUUGAUACUACUCAUUAAUAAAGAGAAUGCCUUCCAUUGAUGUGUCAGCAGCACUGUUACCAGAACAUUGUGGAAUAGUUCCAGGAUUUCCGAUGUUCUUCUAAAAGAAACGGAGGGCCCUGGUCUUUUAUGAUGCUUCUAUUCUCCUAGUUGCCUUUUCUGUGUCUCCAGUGAUGUGAAUGCUUCUCCCACUUUUCAGGGAGUAAGGCCGAUCCCUAAGUCAGUGCCUCUACCUGCACUGACUGCAAAACUCCCCAUUGUUCCCUUCUUCCUGUCUGGGCCUUUGUUAGCCCAUACCCUUUACUGAGUUCAAAGUGACCUGCUGGUUCUUUCUUUCCAGAGUCUGGUGUGUUAGCUAGAGUGGACCUCUCAAGUCCUUAAGUCUAACCCUCACAGCUGAGAAGCAGAAGCAGCCCAGGGAGACUCCGCCUUGCCCAGGGUCUUGCUGCUAGCUGGUGGGUCAUGGAAAAUCCUUUUCCUUCCUGUAGUUCAUGCCCAGUUAGCAGUAGUACCACUACAGCUGUUCUGAACCUCUAAGGCAGGGAUUCUUAGUAGUUGAAUAACUACUAAAAAAGAAGAAAAACAUGGUUUUGAUAUGUUUUUAGUUUUUAUAUUUUAAAAUUAUGUUUAACUUAAAAUUGUGUUUUUUUUAAUAAUUAUUACUUAAUACAUGUUAAAAUAUGUCAGUAGUACUAAAAAUAUAUAGUAAAAGUUAAUUCUGUCUCCUUCCAUCUUCCCUCUUCAAAGACAUCCCUUUCUAUAGGUACUGUGAAUAGUACUUGUAAAAUCUUCCAGAUAUAUUACAUGGCUAUUCGAUGUAAUAGUUAUUUAAGUUUGAUAUUUCAAAUAACAAUAAAGGAGGAUAUGUUUUAGCAGAUUAAGAUGUGCUCCUCCUCUUCUCCUUCUUGUUUGUUUUUUUUGGGGCUGUGGAUCAAACCUAGGACCUUGUGCAUGCUAGAGAGGUGCUAAACAUGCCUGUGGAUGAUUGUGUAAGGAGGUUUGAUUCAAUUUCCCAGUGUCAGUGGAAAUGGUUUCUUAAAUCAGUCAUACUUAUUAAGUUACUUUUCAAAGGUUCUACUUUAAGAAGGGCUUUUGUGUAGAGCAAGUGGUGGUUAGUAGAGCAGUUUAGUUAUGUGUGAGUUUUCUAAUAUUGGGGGGGGCCUUUUGUGUAUGGAAAGGACUACUUAAAAUUACUUGGUUUUCAAAUUAAUGUUUAAUUUAUUAAAAUGUCAAGUUAAAAAUCUAAUUUUCCUUUAGUUUUGUUAUUGUAAGCAUAGUACUUUUGUUUGGAAUAAGGAACAACAGUUUUCACUUUUUAAAAAGUUAAUGUUAAUAGUUUAAAUUCCUUCAUACUCUUUACUCAGUUAAUUAAAUUUCCAGAGACAUUUAAAAUACACUUAUACAUUCAGUCUGUCAAACAUAGUCAGUCCUUGACAGGUCAAACUUGAGAUCAGUGCUUUUCAUUAGCUAAAUCUGAAUUACCAGCACUUAAAAAAUAUUUAUCCUAGCUCAGCACCAGUAAUCCCAGUGACUCAGUAGACUGAGGCAGGAGGAUUCCAAGUUUGAGGUCAACCUCAGCAACUUAGUGAGACCCUGUCUUAAAAAUAAAAAGGUCUGGGGAUGCAGCUUAGUGGUAAAACACCCCUGGGUUCAAUACUAGUUCUUUCUUUCUCCUGCAAAAAAAGAAUCCUAAACAUAACUCAAAGUAUUAGUACUAUGUCUUUGACAUACUUCAUUUUAUUGCUCACCAUUUUCUUCUCACAGUUGUAGUGUCACUCAAAUGUGGAGGACAGAUUUACUAUGUCAGAGAGACAGGUUUUUUGGACUGAAAAUACAGGACUAUGGUAUAGUUAUUGGUCAAGAGAUUUAAGACUGGGAAAAGGCUCUGUGUUUUUAGGAUAAUCCUACUUAAGAGGUACCCUUCUUUGUAGGAGAAGCCUAAAUGUGGUCUCAAUGGCAGAAUCCAUAUCCAGAGUUUGUUUUGCUACCCUUUGUAUUUUUUUCUUUUUUUCAAAUUAACCCUUUAAUCAUCCCCCCAAAUCAAUUUGGAUUUUGUGUUUCUUUCAUAUAUUUUUUGUGAGGCCUAUUAUUUUAAUUUUGGGAGUUGGAUUGAUUAGGGUUCAUAUCUUUUGCAUGCCAGGUUUUGUGAACUUGGACAAGAUACUUAACCUUUCUGAGUCUCAGUUUCCUCACCUGGUAAAUAUCUGUCUUUCCUUCCUUGUGGUUGAGUCAGGAUCCAGUGUAGCUAUUUGAAUUAACACAGUAACAUUUUACCUUCCUCCUUUUUUUUCCCUUUGUGGUAGCAGGGCUCUUUACCACUGAACCAUGUCCCUAGCACUUUUUAAUUUUAUUUUGAAAUAGGGUCUCAUUAAAUUGUUGAGGGUCUCACUGUGUUGUUGAGGCUGGCCUUGAACUUGUGAUCCUCCUACCUCAAUCUCCAGAAUUACUGGGUUUACAGGUGUACACCAUCACCCUCAGCUCCAGGAAAAUGUGGUCAUGGGGUGGGGGGAUAGGAAGGGAAAAGAAUUGAGUAAAAAUGCAAUAAACUGUGUGGUCUUUACUUUUUGAACUAUCUUCCCCUUAGUUGUAUGACACACUGUCCUCAUUUUUUCCUGUCUCUGGCUUUUCCUCAGCUCCCUCAUACCCUCCUUCUUUGGCCACUCUUAAAAUUACCAAGAUAUUCAUCCUCAGCCUUGUGUUUCAUCUUCCUUGCUAACCAGGAGAAAUUGGUCUACAGAACAGAUAUGGUUGAUAGCCAGCAACCUGCUUGCUUCCUCACUUGGCUAAUUCCAAGUCUCCUAUGACCUGCUCAGAACUGACCUCAUCUGACCUCAUCUUCCCUUUAAAUAUGUUAUUUUUAUAAUCUCUGUCUUGAUGAAUGGCAUAACCCAGAAACUUACACAGAAAGCUUGGAUGAUGAUGUUCGUCUGGUUGGUGAUACAUUCUUUUUUUUUUUUUUUAAAGAGAGAGAGAGAGAGAAUUUUUUAAUAUUUAUUUUGUAGUUUUUGGCGGACACAACAUCGUUGUUUGUAUGUGGUGCUGAGGAUCGAACCCAGGCCGCACGCAUGCCAGGCGAGCACGCUAUCGCUUGAGCCAUAUCUCCAGCCUGGUGAUACAUUCUUGUCCAUCUUUAGUAUUUCUCAAAUUAGCCUACUUUUGCCCAUCUCUUCUGUCCAUUAGUUUAGGCUGCUUCUCAUGUAGAUAACUGUUGCAUAUUCUCAAUUUUCUAAUCAUUACUACUUCCUUGUUCAAAUUUGUUGAUCACGUGACUGUCACAGUGAUCUUUUUGAUUUUCUGAUCUAAUCACAGCACUCACCAGUUUAAGAUCCUUUGAAUAAAAUCCAAACUUCUUAACAGAGCAAGCUUUGGGGAUUUAACCCCUUUUAACCCUUUUCCUGAGCCUAUUGACUGUUGUCUGCUGUGUUCUUUCAGGCUCUCUGCCUUUGGAUGGACUGCCCAUCUUCCUCUUUCUUAAAAAGUAUUAAAAUUUCUUAGAAAGCAUCUCCUUCAAUGAGCAUUUCAUUACUGACUGCCACAAGACUGACUUCAGUAUUGAUCCUGUGCUUAUUUCUAUCAAGUCACUUAUCUGAUUGUGUAUAAUCCAUAUGCUUAUACUGUAUGAUGUUUUUUUUUAAAUGGGCAAAGUACUUUUUUCCCCCCCAAAUAUACAUUUUUUUUUUUUAAUUGUAGGUGGACACAGUACACCAUGCUAAGGCUUGAACUCAGUGCCUCACCCUUGCCAGGUGAGUGCUCUACCACUGAGCCCCAGCCCCAGCCCUCUAUGAUAAUCUUUACAUCAACUUGUGCAGAUUAAAUGUUUUAUACUCUUAGACGAAUCCUUAUGGCCAAAAUGUUAAGUAAUAUGUAAAUUUACUGAGGCAUGUGUUCACUUUACUUGCCCAUUGAAUUUAGUGGCAGCAGAACUAAGUUCACCUCAGUAUUCAGUGAACGUAGGUAGAUAGCCUCACUCAGCAUCAAAUUCUUUUUAAUGUUUCCGUUUUAGGCAUGCCACAACUCUAAAAAAAUCAUUAAUACUUUUAGUGUGAAAAGUGAUAUUCAGAAGGAAAAAUUAAUUCUAUUUUUUAUCUAGUCAUCAAGAUUUAUAGGAAUCUCACAUCAAUUAUGUUUUAUUGUGUUUUGUAAAAUAAAUCAUGAUAUCCCCAUUUACUUGAAAUUUUUGUGUGUGUGGUUUUUUGAAUGUCAGAAUUUUGUUAGUUUUUCUGCUACACUGGUUGCUCUUUGAGAACAAGGACUGUGUGACUUGUUUUAUAGUCUUCUUUACCUCCAGCUCUAAUGUAGUAUCUGCUUUAUAGUGGGAAUGAAGGAUUUCUUGCAGUAGAACCAUAUUAAAGACCCUCUGAUUUUUGAUUGCAAAUUGAUAACCUUGUGAAACAAACUGGUAUUUCUUAUAAAUUAAAAAACACAACUCGAUUAUUAGGCAUAGUCCAGGUACCUGGUUCCAGCAACAGUGCUGUGUGUCUUGCAAGGCAGCCAGAUAGCGCGUGACUGUGAGAUGGAGUUUGUGCACGCUAACUGGGAAUUUACCAACUCCAACCCCACAUGCUGGGGAUAGAACCCAGAACCUUCUGCUUGGUAGGCAAGUGCUCUAUCACCCAAGCCACAUCCCCCAGCCCUAAAUGGACAUUUUGAGGAACUAGGGAUUGCUUACAUUUUAAUAACAGUUCAGGUUAGAAAUAUUUAUAUCAUAUUUAAUUAUCAUUUAACCAUAUUUAAUCUUUAACUGUUUUUUGUUCCCCAGAUGAUAUGGGGACUUUUUUCUUUUCUUUCUUUUUUUGUCAAAUGGCUACUUAUUCUUGGUCACAUAUGGCUUAUGAAAAUCUGCAUUUUGUUUGUGAACUCUUUUACCCUGCUUUGAAGCAUAGUCCAGAACCUUUUUCUUCUUACCUCUUGACCUUCAAACCCAAUGAUUAUUGCUUUUGAUCCUAUUUGUCUCUAUUCUAGAUGUCUUGUCACAGACGUACUUCCUACAAGAGGUUAUUUAGGUAAAUAGUAUACUAUAUUUACCAUAAUUAAUAUUAACAUAUUGAAUAUUAGGAUAAAAGUUAACAAGGAUUUGAAGUAGUUUCAUGAAAGUAAUUAAAAUAACAGUGGUGGGCUGAGGCUGUAGUUCAGUGGCAGAGUGCUUGCCUAGUGUGCAUGCGGCACUGGGUUAGAUCCUCACCACGAUGUAAAAAUUAUAAAUAAAGGCAUUCUGUCUACCUACAACUACAAAAAAAUAAAAAAAAAUAACAGUAGUACUUCCUUUAAAUAAUUUUUUUUUUAAUGUGGUGGAGAUAAUAGCAUGGCCAAAGAAAGAAUUUAAUUAUUUUUGGUAUAAUGAAAUCUAACCUGUAGGUUGCCAUUAGAGCGUGACAAUUAUAUAAUAAAAGAGCAAAAAAAAUUUUUUUCUCCCAAUACUGGGGAUUGAACUCAGGGCUUUCCAUUCUACCUCUAAGCAACACUCCCAGCCCUGCUUGUUUUUUAUUUUGAGAUAGGGUGUAAGUUGUCCAUGUUGACCUUGGUGGAUCCUCCUGCCUCAGCCUCUUGAGUAGCUUGGAUAACAGGUGUGCACUACCAUGCCUGGAAAACCAGAAUAAUUUUUGUGAGGUCUAUUGAUAUAGAAGUAUUUAGUUCACUGUUCAUCUAUUUUAGAAUUUGUAUUUUCUAGUUUUUAAACUAGAAAAUACAUUUAAACAAAAAAUUUUAAGUCUCUGUAAUACUUUCAGAACUCAUAAAAUUUUGUUUUCUUUUGUAGUGUUGGGGAUUGAACCCAGGUCCUUGCAAAUGCUAGGCAUGCACUGAGCUAUCCCCAAAUCCUUCAUAAUGUUUUUAAGAUGUUUUUUUUUUUACUUCUCUUCACUUCUUCCCCACCCCCACCCCCUUAUUUAAGUUAUGCAUUGGUAACUCAAAUAUAUCUUGGAGGCCAGGCAGGAAGUGUGAAUGAGAAAAUUUGAUCUGUUGGGUUCUGUGUUACAUUGGGGGUUCUAUAGUCUACCUAAAGUAGUUUUUUGUUGUUGUUGUUUUGUUUCUUUAAAAUUUUUAACACAUUAUGUAAUGGAUUUGUGACUUUCAUAUUAACUGUGAAAGAACUAUUAAAGAUUGCAUAAAAUUUAGUUUAUGUUUCUAUUUGAAACUGAAUCAUUAAACAAAAAUUUAAGUAAUUAUACUAUUAUUCUUUUAUACCCAUCUGAAAUAAUAUUUACAUAAUAAUAGCUCCUUAAUUUUCCCAGGUACAUUUUUCCCCUUAAGAUUGCUUUAUGUAUUUUAAUUAUUCAUUUUCAUGUCUAGUUUCUGGUAGUUUAUUGAGGACUAAGAGCAUAUUUAUUAGUUCUAGUAGGAGCUCAAUACAUUUGUGUUAAAUAUUGCAUAAAGUAGCAGGCAUACAUUAAACAGGGAGAGAUUGUUUAAAACUAAAAUGUGAGGGUAGUCUAGCAUAACAUUUCUUUCUUUUUAUUUGUAUAAUGAUUUGGAAUACUGUGUCUGCACUAUUUUUUUUUUUUUUUUGCGGGGGGUGGGGGGCAUCAGGGAUUGAACUCAGGGACACUCAACCAAUAAGCCACAUCCCUAGCUCAGUUUUGUAUUUUAUUAGAGACAGAGUCUCACUGAGUUGCUUAGCACCUUGUCAUUGCUGAGACUGGCUUUGAACUCCUGGUCCUCCUGUCUCAGCCUCCUAAGCUGCUGGGAUUACAGGCAUGCACCACUGUGCCCAACUGUAUCUCCCCUAAAUUUUACCUAUGUUUCUUGGGAAUCACUAAGAAUGUUAAUGAUGAUACAUCCAUGUUGGGUUUGAUUUUGACAAAUCUCUGCACACAUGAUGACCAAACAAGUUCAUCACAAAUAGCUAAUGAUACAAGAAAAGGUCUGGAGCCGGACAUGGUGGCACAUACCUGUAAUCCUAGCAGCUCAGGAGGCUGAGGCAGGAGGAUUGUGAGUUCAAAGCCAGCCUCAGCAAAAGUGAGGCACUAAGUGAAUCAGUGAGACCCUGUCUUUAAAUAAAAAAUACAAAAUAGGGCUGGGUAUGUGCCUCACUGGUCAAGCGCCCCUCAGUUCAGUCCCUGGUGCCAAAAACAAAACAAAAAACUGUUUUUAGAAAAUAUAAUGAAAUUUUAGUAUCCCUUGAAUGAAGAAGGGAUUUGGAAUUUGCACACCUCAGUUUUGUUUCUAGCAAUGAUGUUUCUAGCAGUACUGAUAGUCACAGAUCUCUUUGGGUGAUUGUUUUCCUUUUUCUUCUUUUUAUACUACUGGGGAUUGAACCCAAGGCCUCAUGCAUGUUAGGCAAGUACUCUACCACUGAGCUACAUCCCAGACCUUUUUAUGUUUUAUUUUGAGGAAGGAUCUUGCUAAGCUGAACAGGCCUGGAACUGAAAUCCUCCUGCCUCAGCCUUCAAGCAGCUGGGAUUACAGAUGUGCACCACCACUUCUAGCUGGGUCAGUUAUAUUUCAUCUGUAAAGUGAUAAAGGACUUGAUCAUCUAAAAUUGUUCUGUCCCUAAAAUGAUCUAAUUCUAAAAUGCUGUAAUUUCUAAAUGAAAUGUUAACACACAGUGAAUGACCUUAUCUCAUUUUAAGAAGAGUUUGAGCAGUUUAUUGAAAAAUAUCUAAUACUGUGUGUGCACGCCUGCACGUGCAUGUGUGUUAAAGAAUUCUAGAAAGAUAAAGAAUAAAUAGGUAGUAAUUACUAGGUCUGGUAGGAGGGGACCUGGAUGGCUGGUGGGAAGAGAUCUUUUAUUUAUUAUACUUUCCUUUGUGUUUUUUGAAUUUUAUAACAUGUAUUUGAUUAUCCAUUCAAUAAAGACAAUUUAAAUAUAAUCUUGUAUCAACAGUGAGGCACAAGAUUUACUUGUUGCAUAUAUAGCAGAGGGUAGAUGAUAUAGCCUAUUCUUAAAUUUAUUUUUAUUUUUUAUUUUUUUGUUAAAAGCUAACACAUACAUAUUAUUAGCCCAGGCUCACAUUGGGUUAGAAUCAUCAAUAUUAGUAUCUUCUACUUCCACCGUUAUCCUACUGGAAGGUCUUCAGCGGAGUAACAAACAUGGAGCUGUAAACUCUUAUGAUAACAGUGCCUUCUUCUGGAAAUCCUGAAGGACCCUGUGUGAGGUGGUUUUACAGGUUUUUUUUUGUUUUUUUGGUUCCCAAGAACAGUUAACUACUGAACCAUAUCCCCAGGCCUUUUAUUUAUGUUUGAUUUUGAGUUGCUUAGAGCCUUGCUAAGUUGUUGAGGCUGGCUUCCAACUUGUGAUUCUCCUGCCUCAGCUUCUCCAGUUGCUGGAAUUACAGGUGUGUGACACCACACCUGGCUUAUUUAUUUAUUUUUUUGCAAGUAGAAGGCGUACACUCUAAAAUAACAAUAAAAGUACAGUAAAUAUUUAUUAUCAUUAUCAAAUGUUACAUACUCUACAUAAUUUUAUAUGCUAUACUUUUGUAUGACUGACAGCACAAUAGGUUUGUUUAUAUCAGCAUCACCAUAAACAUGUGAGUAGUAUGUUGUGCUGUGACAUUAUGUUAGCUACAACUUGCCACCAGAUGAUAGUUAUUUUUUUGACUCCUUUAUAAUAUAGGGACCACUAUUUCAUACGUGGUUCAUUGUUGACCAAAAUGUUAUUGAGGCACAUAACUGAAUAUAAAUGUAUACAUAAAAAAAAAGUUAGAGUAAAGGGAAAGUAAGGGUGUAUUGGUGGGAACCAGUCCAAAACUGUUAGUACAAAAAAAACUGUUAGUACAGAGAAUACAGUUCAUUAGAUCCUAUGCAUCUAUUUAUUUAUUUUGGUGGUGGGGAUUGAACCUAUGGCUUUGUGCAUGCUAACACAGGCAUUCUACCACAGAGCUACAUCCUCAGUCCCCCAUGCAGCUAUUUAAAGAAGACUGUAUAUUGAAUUCUCAAGUUAUAGUAGCCAAGAAAGAGAUGCCAAGAAAUUCACUUGACUUACAAGAUAAAAUUGUGAAAAGCAGCUUUUUCUGGCACUAAGAUUUGAGGCAUUUUUAUCUUUUUUUUUUUUUUUAAUUGUCAAUGGACCUUUUUUUUUUUUUUUAAAGUUGUGCUGAGAAUUGAACCCAGUGCCUCACACAUGCUAGGUGAACUCUUUACCACUGAGCAACCAUUUUUAUCUUAAAAGAGGUGUUAUGAGCUAUUGUGGAAGAUAUUUUCAAUAACUCUACAGUCAAAUGGAGGUCCUUUGUUAUGUUUUGGAGGGAAGUUUCUCUGAGUGGACCCUUUUUAAAUUCUUAUAGUCUGAUAUACAAGCAUAUAAAUGGCUGCCCACUUUAUAACUACUGAUUAUUGCCAUAAAUUUCAGUGUUCAUGUUUGCUUGUCUGUUUAGGAUCAUUUGUUAUAUGAUUAUAUAUUUCUCUCACUUUCCCUUUUUUCCCCCUUUGGUGCUAGAGAUUGAACCCAGUGCUUGUGAGCACAUGCUCUACCAACUUUGUUUGUUAAGUAGUGCUGGGCAUACUGUGUGAAUAAAGGUUUUGCAGUUGUUUGAAAUGGGAAAGUAGCAACAUUAAGGCAUACCAAGCAAAAACAAAAAACAAAAAACUGUUAGGGUAGUAAUUACUGUCCUUAUUGUAAGAGAUGAUUUACUUUUAACAUUAAGUCUAUUAUCGUUAAAUUGAGUUUUAUUAAUUUCAUAUUUUUAUAUUAAUUUAUAUGUAUGUUUUAGUUCUACUGUAGUUGAACUGUCCCCUAAAAUGAAUGUGCUGGAAACUUAAUGCCCUAUAUAACAGUAUUAAGAGAUGGGAUGUUGACUACCCCACCUUUACCCCAUCCCCAUACUGGGGAUUGAACUCAGAUGUUUCAUUUUUUGCUAUAAUAUGUAUAUUAUUUAGCUUAUGUUGAUAUAUAGAGUUAACAUUAUUUUACUAAUAUACUGUUUUCUAAUAAAAUAUAUUUUACUAUAUACUAUUAUUUUACUAAAAUAAUAAGAGAUAUUAAUAUUGAGAAAAUGUUGCUGCUACUUGGGAGGCCGAGGCAGGAGGAUUUCAAGUUCAAGGCCAGCUUUAGCAAUUUUUCAAGGCUCUAUUCAACUUAGUGAGACCCUGUCUUAAAAUAAAAAAUGAAAAGGACUGGGAAUAUAGCUCAGUGGUAAAGUGACCCUGGUUCAAUCCCCAGUACCUAAAUAAAUAAAUAAAAAAUAAUUGAGAAAAUGUUUAACUUUAUACAUGUUGAAAGUGGCUCAAAAACUUUAAAAAAAAGAAUCAGUUGCUUUAAAAAAGGUCUCAGUUAAUAUAUAAUAACAAGAAAAGGGCUGAAGUUCACCUUCAUAAAAAUUUCUAAAGCAUAUAAUUAAUUAUCCUUUAUAGGAAAAAAAAAAACAUUGGGCUUACAGAAGAAAACCAAUUUAAAUGAAAGUUGGGUGACUUUUAAAGCAUUAGUUCUGUUACUCAUCUUUCAGUUGUUUCAAAUUUGAACUCUGCAUGUAAAUGUCUGUCUGUGAAUAGUUCAUAAGCUGAAAAACAAAAACAAAUCUUUAUCGUCUAGAAAUGUAUAUAUAAAAUUCCUCCACAAAAAGGUGCUAUUCUGUUAUUUCCCCAUCUUGCUCUUCUUCAACAAUCUAUGUAUUCUUCUGUAAUAGCCAGUUGCAUAUUUAUAUAGUCAUGUACAGAUACCAGGUGGCCCUUGUACUCCAUUCCCCACUCAGGUUUCACCAUCACUGGUGUUCCUGUUAAUCCGUUGAGGAAAGGUUUGGAAUUGAGGGAUAAACUAAUUGCGAAUACCAGUGAAUGCUGCAGGCUACUUACCAAUAACCUCCUGAGUGAGAUCUGUGUCUUGUGACUGGAACAGCUACUACUGCAGGCCCAAACUGCUAAGCAUCAGGAGAAAUGCAGCAAGAAUAGAUUUCUGAUAAAAGAAUGAAUUCAGUCAGCACAAAAACUGACAGGUUCUGUAGCUAUAUGACAGGAUAAUUUUAUGUUUGCGUAUGUUUCUUAUAAAAAUAUUUUCUUUAGUAUUGGGGGGUGUAUAAGAAUUUUAAAAGGGUUUUACAUCUUUCUCAUUUGAAAAACCCUGCUGUAGUGAUCUGGUUGUAGAUCUUCUAAGCAGAUUUCCCCCAAUCCCAAACCUUUCCUCAAUGGAUUAACAGGAACACCAGUGAUGGUGAAACCUGAGUGGGGAAUGGAGUACAAGGGCCACCUGGUAUCUGUAGAUGACUAUAUGAACAUACAACUUGCGAUUACAGAAGAAUACAUAGAUUGUUGAUGAAGAGGAGGAGGAUGGGGAAAUAAGAAUAGCACCAAAUGAAAGGCAGUUUUCUACGUGUACAUCAUUUCUCAUAACUGAAUUUUGUUGAGAGUUAGAAAAAGAAACUUUGAAAUUAUUUUAAAAAUUGCCGAUUAAGGACAAUUUUAACUUACUUUGGAAAUUAGAGUAGUCAAAAGACAACAUACCCUCGAAUAGGUGGCCAUUUCAUCUCUACAUGAAGCAACUGUAGGCAGGACUAGAUGGUUAUCAAAAAGGAUCCUGAAUACUGGGUGUGGUGACUCAUGCCUGUAGUCCCAGUGACUUGGGAAGCUGAGGAGGAUUGCAAGUUGGAGGUCAGAUUCAGCAAUUUAGCAAUGCCUUAAGCAACUCAGUGAGACCCUAUCUCAAAAUAAAAAAUAAAAAGGGCUGGGAUAUGGCUCAGUGGUAAAGCACCUCUGGGUUCAAUCUCUAGUACAAAAAAAAACAACCAAGGGAGUGUGGGGAGUCUGACUGCUUCAACCCACAAAUGACUGACUAACCCAGGCCUCUAUCCUUCUCUUCGACCGAUAGAGCAUGAUGCUAGAGAGUUUAAUCUGAAAAAACAUCAGAGUUCAAGAACCCACUUACUUACUUUUAUGGCUAAUGAAAGAUGCCUGUGAUUUGCUGAAUUUCAAAUAGUGUCAUUUCCUGGUAAGUCCAACAGGACAAUUCUUUUUUUUUUUUUUUUUUUUUUUUUGGGGGGGGAGAGAGAGAGAGAGAGAGAGAGAAUUUUUUAAUAUUUAUUUUUUAGUUCUCGGCUGACACAACAUCUUUGUUUGUACGUGGUGCUGAGGAUCGAACCCGGGCCGCACGCAUGCCAGGCGAGCGCGCUACCGCUUGAGCCACAUCCCCAGCCCCAGGACAAUUCUUUUGAAAAAGAAAACUGUAGCAAACAAGAGUUUUAAAGUACUAAGGAAAACUGUUAGAUAUUAACUUCAACUUUCAACAAUUAUUUUUGGGUAUCAAAACAAAAUAUAUCAACUGAGAGGAUAAUUUCUUUUUCUUUUUUUUAAAUUUUUUAUUUUUUUUUUAAUCAUACAUGACAGUAGAAUGCAUUUUGAUAUAUAAUUUCUUUUUCUUUUACAUUCCCAAUAAUUCUGAUAAGAGUUUUAAAAGAAGGAUGUAAGGGUUUAUAUUUCAAGUAAUAUAAUCCAUCUGGCAGGAUUAUGUUGAAUCCAUCCCUGUGAUUCUUAGGGAAAGUUUGAUUGUAGAUACCAUUUAUCAGAUUAAGGAAGUUGCCUUCCAUUCCUUUCUGUGAGAAUUUUUUGAUUAAAUGUUGAAUUAUAUCCCAUGUUUUUUUCUUUAGCUAGUGGUAGUUAUGGUUUUUCUUUAAAUUGGCAAUACCAUCAAUCAAUAUUUUUUUUAUGAGAAAAUGGUGUUUUCUUUAAAAAAUCAUUACUUUUUUAUUGUAGUGAAAUAAACAUAAAAUUUAUCCUUUUACUAAUUUUUUAGUGUACAUUUCAUUGUAUGUUCACAUUAGCAUCAUCCAUUUCCAGAACUUCAUCAUCACCCAAACUGAAACUCUGUAUCCAUUAAACCUUAACUUCUUAUUUCUCCCUGGCCUAACCCCUGGCAACUACCUUUCAUUAAUCAGUUUUUAAACUUGAACACAAUUUGGUCAUGGUAUAUGUUACUUAUUAAUGGAGUCAGAUUAUUGAUGUCUUGGUUAGUUGUUUUUUUUUUCCCCCAACAAUAUUUCAGACUAUUUUCUAAUUUUCAUUGUGAUUUUCUGUUUUAAUCCAUGGAUAUGUAUAUGUCUUUUUAACUUUCAAAUAUGUUUUUUUUCCCUAGUUACUGUUUUGUAAUGGGCAAGAUUAUUAGCAUUGUGGUUAAAAGUAUAUGACCUAUGCACAUUUAGAUCUUUAAAAUUGUUAAUUUUUAUCUGCUACUUGGCUUACUACACCCUUUACCCAGAUUCCACAGUUGUUAAGAUUUUACCGAUUACCUUCUCUUAUUUAUUCAUUUAUAAGACAAUUCUGAAUCAUUCGACAAAUAAGUUGUAGACAUAAUGCUCCAUUUAUUUAAAGACAAGGGUACUCUCUUACAUAUCCAUACCAUUGCCCCCUCCUUAAGAUCAGGAAAUGAAUAUUAAUAAAAUGCAUUUAAUUCACAGGCCCCACUCAUCUCACUAAUUUCUCAUUUAUAUCCUUUGUAGCAAAAACACCCACCCUCAAACCCCUGAGAAAACAGAGAAAACCUCUUUGCUACUUUUUUUUUUUUUUUGGUACAAAGGAUUGAACCCGGGGGCAUUUAACUGCUGAGCCACAUCCCUACUCCUUAUUUAUUUAUUUAUUUGGACAUAAUACCUUUAUUUUAUUUAUUUUUAUGUGGUGCUGAGGAUCUAACCUAGCGCCUUGCAUGUGCUAGGCGAGUGCUCUACCACUGAGCCACAACCCCAGCCCCCAUCCCUACUCCUUUUUAUUUUUAGACAAGGUCUCCCUAAGUUGCUUAGGGGCCUCAUUAAAUUGCUGAGGCUGGCCUUGAACUUGUGAUUCUCCUGCCUCAGCCUCCAGAGUUGCUGGGAUUACAGGCAUGCAGCACUACACCUGGUAGCUACCUACUUCUUUUAUUUCUGAUUCAGGAACUAUUCAAGGUUAUGCCUUGCAUUUAGUUAUAUCUUGUCUCUUCAGUAUACUUCAAUCUGGAGUGUUUUUUCAAUCUAUCUCUUCAAUGAUCUUGACAUUUUUGAAGAGUAAGCCAAAUACUUUGCACAAUAUUCCCCAAUUUGAAUUAGUCUGAUGUUUCCUCAUGAGUAAAUUUAGAUUAUGCAUUUUUGGCUAGAAUAUUGCAAACCUAAUGUUGUGUUCUCCCUGUAUUGUAUCAGGAGGCACAUCAGUUUAUCCCAUUACAGGUUAAGUUCAAUUUUAUCUUGGUUAAGAUGUCUGACAGGUAUCUAUAAAGUAUUUUAUGCUUACUAAUUAAUAAGUAAACACUCUACAUUUUGCAUUUUGUGGGGAUGAUACUUUAAAACUAUGUAAAUAGCCCAGUUGUCUUCAAAUUUCCACCAACAAGUUUUCAUAUCCAUUGAUGAUUUGUCUCUGAAUCAUUUAUUACUGUGCUUGUUGCCAGAUGGUGAAUUUUUAAAAAUUUCAUCAUUCCUUUUGCAUUCAUUGUUUGACAUUUCAUUACAAGGAAAAGCUUUCUGCUUUCUCUUCUUGUUGUUUUAAAUCUUUAAAAAAAUGCCAGCAUUGGCUCAUGAAUUCUUAUUUUAUUCACUUUUCACUUAUUUUAAUGUUUCAAAUUGUUCCAGAUUUGGCCAAUGGGAACUCUUUCAAACUGGCUCCUGUGUCCUUUUUUCAUGUCCUCAUCAUUAUUUGACCACUUUCUUUCACCAUACUUUUUGGCACAAUAAGAUUUUUUAUACUUACACAUUAGCUUGUUUCAGUCCUGGAAUCAACCAUUUUAUCAAAGAGCUUUUGAUUCUUCUGUUAGAGAAUGCAUUUAGAAAAUAAGAUCUGAUUACUAGGUAUGUUCCUUGCUACCGGUGUGUCAUUGCUCUUCUGCCGAGGACAGAAGUAGGAUAUAUUUUUUUUUUAAUAUGUUUUUAGUUGUAGAUGGACACAAUGUCUUUAUUUUUUAUUUAUACAUUUUUAUGUGGUGCUGAGGAUUGAACCCAGUGCCUCACACAUGCUAGGUGAGUGCUUCACCACUGAGCCACAACCCAGCUCCUAGGAUAUUGUUUUAAAAUGUACCUUGGAUUUAAUGUAUAGGUGUGACUGAGUGAUAACACAGAGAAGUCAGUACCAUUGAAAGUAUAUUCCUCACAAUUUCCUAGAAACAGGAGGCAUACCAUGUGUACAGGACCACAGGGAGUUUUCAGAAGGGAGGAGGAGCUAGAGGAAGACAUAUAAGUGAGAACCUUUUUUUACUAUAGUGAUGGGACAUUGUUAGGUGGUGACAUGUAUCCCUUAUUAGGCAAAAACCAAACACAGAUAUUGGGGUCUAUGGUUGGGGCUUUGUAAUAAGAUUUUAGCAUACCCUCCAAAACAUAGGAAUGGUUGAACAUCACCAACAUUGGCUGUUAUUUUAAUCCAUGCUUUCAAUAUGCCAAAUCAUCAAUUACAGACUAUCAAGAGUAUUAUUAUAGGUAUAUAUGUAUGUCUGUACAUUCAUGUGUAUAUAAACAUUUACAAAUAUCUUUAUCUGCCUGUAAACAUUUUAAAUGUUAAUAUUUUAUUCAGAAGACUUGUUUUAACACCUGUAAAACAUUCGUCUAUCCAUAUCCCUAUAAAUAUUGAAAGCAAUGAUUUUUCCAACACUGUAGGAUUUUUAAAAAAGUCUUUUUCUGUUUUUGUUACCUCCUUUUCUGACAUUGAAAAAUCUAGCUUUCAUCCUUUUUACUUUGUCCCUCUGUAGGUAACUGUCUCCUGACUAUAAGAGCCCUCCCCUUGUCCUCAAUCCCACUGAAUGUAUUGGUUAAACACUACUGAAGUUCCAUGAGCUGUUUUUUUAAAUUCAGUCUUCACUUCACAUGGUUCCAAUAUGCAGAAAUUUCCAUUACCAUGCUUUAAUUAAAUAGCACCAGUCCCCAAUAUUAGUAAAAUGUAAAAUAUAGCUUGUGAUCAGGAAGUUUCUCCAAAAUUUAAAAAAUUUACUCUUACCCUAUGGUAGCUGAUUAAUACAUCCUUAAACACUACUUAAACACUGUUCAAUUAGCUAACUUUUUUUUUUUUUAAGGAAAAUUACUGUCUUUGCACUGUUCUCAGCUGAACUUUACAUAGCUCUGCAUUUCCCUGUGUCAGUUCCUCUUGGAAUGGUGGGUGGGUAGCAGAAGGGAGGAUAUGUACAAUAAUGUAUUUUUAGUUCUUUUGAAAAGAAGCGUUACUUCAGCCAUUGCUAUUGAUGGCAGGAAGUAUAUUUAUAUCUCCAGAGAAGGGAAGGAGGGGUGGAAUGAGUCCUGGUUUAAGAAAACCUGAGAGGUUGUACUUCAUUUCAUUAAAAUUAAUUUGCACUUCAUUGUAAGUUCUUGCCUUAGAAAUGUAAUUAAGGGCUGGGGAUGUGGCUCAAGCGGUAGCGGGCUUGCCUGGCAUGCGUGUGGCCCGGGUUCAAUCCUCAGUACCACAUAUAAACAAAAGAUGUUGUGUCCUCCGAAAACUAAAAAAUAAAUAUUAAAAAAUUUUCUCUCUCUCUCUCUCUCUCUCUCUCACACACACACACACACACACACACAACUCUCUCUCUCUCUCUCUCUAAAAAAAAGAAAAGUAAUUAAAAUGAAUGGUAACUUAUUGUAUUUGGAAAACUCUUUCAUUUUGAAAUUUCAGAGUAUACAAUACCUGCAAUAAAGGGCCCUUUAGAGCAAAUAAGGAUGUACAUGAAAAAUUCAGGUGUUUGUUAGCAUGCAGUUGAACAGCAAAGAUAUUGAGGGAUACUAAAUGUUUACCCCAGUUAGACAUUAUUCAUUAAAGUCUUAUUAGUACAGCUUCUAUUGUGAUUCAUUUAAAGAAACCAAAGUAGUGCAUAUGAAUCAUAGGAUACUCUCAGUCACAGGAUAGUCAAUUUGAGAUUUUCCACUAAGCACAAUUUUAUCACAACUUUGAUUGGGACAGGACUUUUGCCCAUGAUUAUCAUAAGCAGUGGGCACAUUAAAUACAAGUUAAAUUAUUCUGAAGUUUUUUUAUUUUCUACUCCCUUUCUUAGUUGAGGGAAGCAAUGAAUUCGUUUCCAAGGAUACGCCUUCUCUCUUAGCCGGUCUCAGAUUGAUGCAGUCAUGGAAACAAGGCAGUAAACUCAUUCUUGGCAUCUGCCAGCCAUGGUCUGAUCCUUUUUUUAAAAGCAUGAGAUUCUUUAAUAAUACAUUUUGGGAAGGUUGCUGCCAAAUGAUUCCAAAUCAUACUAGAGGGGGGUUGGGAAUGUUGUUGAAUUGAUAUAAAUGAGUCAGGUGUUAAUAGGUUGCUAGGUAAGACUUUAAUGAUUUAACUAAAGUUGUUUGUCUAAAUAGGAAGAUCUAUAUUAGAACAACAAAUAUUUAGUCCUUUUUAAUAUUUAAAAACACUCCUAAUUAUAAUUUGAGGAUAUUAUUUUUUUUAAAAUGCCACAUGUUAUAGAUGUGCUGAGCUUUUAUUGAACACAAUGAAGAUUUUUAACUGGUUGGUUAAAGCCGAUCCACUAAUGAAAUGGAAUAUAAAAUUAUUUUGUGGAUUCUAAAGCUGGAAUGCUUAGGUUCAAAUCUCAUCUCUGUUACUUGUUUAGAAUGUAACCUUGGGCAAGUUACUUAACAUCUCUGUGCCUCAGUUUCCUCAUCUAUAAAAUAGGAUAUAAUAUUAGCAUUGGAUUGUGGUACAGAGUACAAGCUGCAUUAUGUAAAAACACACCUAAUUUAUAGGGAGCACUCAGCAAGUGUUGACUGCCAUUCACAAAUGAGAAGUGGAAUUACUCUGUACACCAAAUAAUAAGCUCUCUUUUAUCCUGUUUCCCCUCUAAAGAUUCAGUAUUAGGUUUCCAUAUCUUAGCAAGGAAUUUUUCAGGAUUGAUUGAUUAGCACAUGCUAGGUAUUCAAAUCACAAAGGGGAAUAAAAUACAUUCUUUUCCCUAAAAAAACUUCCUAUUUUGGAAGGUGUGAAUAAAGGAGAGCAAAGAAGAGAGGAUGACCUGUUGUUAUAAAACUUAAUUCAUUCUGUUAAGUGCUACACUAGUAGAAAAAUUAAAAAAAAAAACAGAGACAGAAGAGAACACAAAUUAAUAAAAAAUAUGUAAGAUGUAUGAAGAAAAUUCUAAAGUUUUAAUAAGAGAUUUUUAAAAAUACAAAUAUUAUAAAGGUAUUGUAUAGAUGUUAAUUCUCUCCAAAUCAUUCUGUAGAUUUAAUGCACGUUAAUUUGUAAGCCCUGGGUGGGGGGGUGAACGUUUUUGAGAACUUGACAAAUUGCCUGAACAGUUCCUUUAGAAGAAUAUAUCCAGCUGGGCAUGGUUGUACAUGCCUGUAAUCCCAGCGCAUUGGGUUGUGGUGGAGGAAGGAGGAUCAUGAGUUCAAAGCCAGCUUCAGCAACUUAGUGAGCCCCUGUCUCUAAAUAAACUGUAAAAAGGGGCUGGGGAGUUUGGCUCAGUGGUAAAGUGCCCUUGGCUUCAGUCCCUUGUACAGAAAAAAAGAAUACAUCCAACAGUUGAAAAUUUUCAGAAAUUUUGAAACAGAAGGAUAGUUGGUAGGCAAUAGAGGGGAGAAGUAUAUUUAACACUGGAUCCUCCAGAUAGCAAAAUAUAUUUGAAAGUUAGAUUUGGCAUUUGUUUAGAAUAAACAAAUAAAUAAUUGGAACAGAACAGAAAGUUCAGAAACAGACCUGGAUAUGUGUGUAUAUGUAAUUUACAUUCUCAACAGGAACAUGCAAGUGUUCCCAGGUGAAUGUAGCUUGAUAGAACACUUGCCUAACAUGCCUGGGGCUGGGACCCUGUAUUCAUCUCCAUUAACAUACACACAUGAGUUCCAGUUCUUCCACAUAUUUACCAACACUUGGUAUUGCCAGCCUUUUAGUUUUUAGCUAUUAUAAAGUGUGUAGUGCUAUCUCAUUCUGGUUUUAAUUUUCGGUUUUUUUCCUUUUUUUUUUUUUUUUUGCCCAGUACUGGGGAGCAGACCUAAGGCUUUGCAUGUGCUAGGCAAGGGUUUUACCACUGAGCCACACCCCCAUCCCUGAUUUGCAUUUUCUUAACGAUGUUUAUUGCGCACUGCAUUUGUUUGUUUGCUUUUUUUGAGUGUCUCUUUCAAUUUGCUCAUUCUUAUUGAGUUUUUGUUUGCUCAUUCUUGUUGAGUUUUUGUUUGUUUGUUUGUUUUGGUUUUGGCUCUAUCCCUCCCUCACCAUUUUUAUUUUUUAUUUUGAGACAGGGUCUCACUGAGUUACUUAGGGCCUCACUUAGUUGCUGGCAUUGAAUUUGCGAUCUGUCUCCCAAAUUGCUGGUGUGUGUCACUACUCCUUGCCGUUAAGUUGUUUUUGUUGCUUGAGUCUUAAGGGUUAUUUAUGUAUUAGGGAUGUAAUACAUUAAUCGUAUAUAUGUAUUACAAUUACAAAUCCAGCCUGUGUAUAGCCUUUUGUUGUUCCUGUUGUGCUGAGGAUUAAAUCCAGGGUUUUGUACAAGCUAGACAAGCACUGUGCCACUGGGCCACUUCCCCAGCUCCUUUUCUUUGUUCCUUUCUUCUUCUUUUUUUAAUGGUAUCUAAGAGAAAAAGGUCUGUUGUUCUUUUUUUUUUACCCCCCUAGGUACUAGGGAUUGAAUUCAGUGCCUUGUAUGUGGUAGGCAAGUGCUCUACCACUGAGCUCUAUCCCAGUCCUUUUUUCUUUUCUUUUUUUUUUUUUUUUUGAAACAGGAUCUCACUAAAUUGCCCAGGCUGGCCUUGAACCUGGGGUCCUUUUCCUCAGCCUUCUGAGUCAGCUAGGAUCACACAUGUGCACCUCUGCAUUUGGCAGAAGUUUGUAAUUUUGAUGAAGUUCAAAUUAUUGCAUGUAUUGAUGGUAUUAUGUGUUUUUUAAUUCAAAGUUUUUGUCUGUCUUUGUCAGGUACAAUGCUAAAGUGACCACAAGGCCAGCCCCUUGUAUAAUUUCUAUAAGUGUUGGUAGGACCUGUGAAUAUGACAGAAUUUUACUGCAAUUUUACCUGACAGAAGAAGUUUCAUUGACAUAAUCUACUAAACAAUUGACUUUGAUUUAAUUGAAAAGAAGAUUAUGUUGAGGGGUCUGACCUAAUCACAUAAAUCCUUUAAAUAUAGGUUCAAAGGUCAGAGUUAGAAGAAGUCAAAGAAUUUGAAGCAUAAGAAGAAUUUGACAAAAGGAAGAUUUUUCUUUGCUGACUUUGAAGUUUUAAGAGACCACUUGUCAAGGAUUGCAGGUGGCUCUAGAUGGU